rnacentral:rRNA from 1 species
CCUACGGGAGGCAGCAGUGAGGAAUAUUGGUCAAUGGCCGAGAGGCUGAACCAGCCAAGUCGCGUGAGGGAAGACGGCCCUACGGGUUGUAAAACUCUUUUGUCGGGGAGCAAAGCGACCCACGUGUGGUUCAUUGAGAGUACCCGAAGAAAAAGCAUCGGCUAACUCCGUGCCAGCAGACGCGGUAAUACGGAGGAUGCGAGCGUUAUCCGGAUUUAUUGGGUUUAAAGGGUGCGCAGGCGGGGGUGCAAGUCAGCGGUCAAAUUGCGGGGCUCAACCCCGUACUGCCGUUGAUACUGCAUCCCUUGAGUGCGCGAGAGGUAUGCGGAAUGCGUGGUGUAGCGGUGAAAUGCGUAGAUAUAACGCAGAACUCCGAUGGCGAAGGCAGCAUACCGGCGCGCAACUGACGCUCAUGCACGAAAGCGUGGGUAUCGAACAGGAUUAGAUACCCGAGUAGUC